UGACCGCGUAUGAAGUACGUUUCACCUCGGGUGACAGGGAGACAGGUGGUGCAUGGUUGUCGUCAGCUCGUGUCGUGAGAUGUUGGGUUAAGUCCCGCAACGGAGCGCAACCCCUACGUUUAGUUGCUAACGCGUGAAGGCGAGCACUCUAGACGAACUGCCGUUGACAAAACGGAGGAAGGUGGGAUGACGUCAAGUCCUCAUGGCCUUUAUGCUUAGGGCUACACACGUGCUACAAUGGGUGGUACAAAGAGAAGCCAACUCGCGAGAGCGCGCCAAUCUCAAAAAGCCAUCCUCAGUUCGGAUUGGAGUCUGCAACUCGACUCCAUGAAGUUGGAAUCGCUAGUAAUCGCGGAUCAGCAUGCCGCGGUGAAUACGUUCCCGGGCCUU
rnacentral:rRNA from 1 species